ensembl:lncRNA
CUGGAUUUCCACGUGCUUUCCAUUUUAACAUUUAAAUGGAAUUUACAUUUAAAAGUUCCUUACAUUUUCACUUCAGCAUUUCCUAUGUCCCAUUCAGCAUCAUCCUUGUUGGAAUUAUGGUGACCUCUGGCAGACAAGCAAGUAGGAAGUUGGGAGUCAUGAAUUCUGACACUGUUCCAAUGCCAAAUGUGGCACAAUGGGUCGAAGUUACUUUGAGGGUGUCCAUAGCUGCACUGAGGAAACCACAACUCUGCAGGUAUCUGCUUGCAAAAAUAGAUGCAACUGAGUCCUCUAAGAGUGAUGACCAAUCAGAUGAAAGCCUGUCCCGAUGUAUCCUGAGGCAUUUGUUCAGGUCUUGCCCUGGACUGAUGCAGGCAGCCACUUCCUAUGGCCCUGCUAUGGUUGGACAACACGUAUGGAAAUGGUCAGACGUGGUAAUGGUUGAAUGGUCCCUUACAUGCUGCUUGCUACAGAAACUGGCAUUGACAUGCUGAUGAGCUUUCUCAUCUGCUGUCACUAAUUUAGUGCAUGAAAGAGGAGGAAAAGAAAAUUUUUAGACUUUCUGCUCUUUUUAUGCUUGGCUUUAUAAAAUAAACUUUUAAAAUAAAAAAGUAUAUGUAUCAAAACAGAAUAUGAUAAUUAUUUUUUUGUUUGUUUUCCUGAAAGAACAGGAAGGUGCUUUCCUAAUCUGACACUACUCUGAAAAAGAAUUACAAGAACUACUAUUUCAAUCAAAAAAAUGUUUGACCUUGCUUAUAUGGACUUGGAUCAAAAUGACAGUGUAAAGAACAAUAUAUUCAGUUGCUCAGCAAAGCCCAUAGAAUUCUGCAUACUGCUUGGAAAUGCAACCCCAGUAAAAUCAGGGAAUUAGGAGCUGUGUCGGAAAACAUAUCUGGACUCCAUUUCACAUAUUCUCUGAG